ACAGAGGCGGCAAGCGUUGUUCGGAAUUAUUGGGCGUAAAGAGCACGUAGGCGGCCUUGCAAGUCAGUUGUGAAAGCCUUCCGCUUAACGGAAGAACGGCAUCUGAUACUACAGGGCUUGAGUACGGGAGGGGAGAGUGGAACUUCUGGUGGAGCGGUGAAAUGCGUGGAUAUCAGAAGGAACGCCGGCGGCGAAAGCGACACCCUGGGCCGUACCUGACGCUAAGACGCGACAGCACGGGGAGCGAACGG
rnacentral:rRNA from 1 species